GGUGAGUAAUGCUUAGGAAUCUGCCUAUUAGUGGGGGACAACAUCUCGAAAGGGAUGCUAAUACCGCAUACGUCCUACGGGAGAAAGCAGGGGACCUUCGGGCCUUGCGCUAAUAGAUGAGCCUAAGUCGGAUUAGCUAGUUGGUGGGGUAAAGGCCUACCAAGGCGACGAUCUGUAGCGGGUCUGAGAGGAUGAUCCGCCACACUGGGACUGAGACACGGCCCAGACUCCUACGGGAGGCAGCAGUGGGGAAUAUUGGACAAUGGGGGGAACCCUGAUCCAGCCAUGCCGCGUGUGUGAAGAAGGCCUUUUGGUUGUAAAGCACUUUAAGCGAGGAGGAGGCUACCGAGAUUAAUACUCUUGGAUAGUGGACGUUACUCGCAGAAUAAGCACCGGCUAACUCUGUGCCAGCAGCCGCGGUAAUACAGAGGGUGCAAGCGUUAAUCGGAUUUACUGGGCGUAAAGCGCGCGUAGGUGGCCAAUUAAGUCAAAUGUGAAAUCCCCGAGCUUAACUUGGGAAUUGCAUUCGAUACUGGUUGGCUAGAGUAUGGGAGAGGAUGGUAGAAUUCCAGGUGUAGCGGUGAAAUGCGUAGAGAUCUGGAGGAAUACCGAUGGCGAAGGCAGCCAUCUGGCCUAAUACUGACACUGAGGUGCGAAAGCAUGGGGAGCAAACAGGAUUAGAUACCCUGGUAGUCCAUGCCGUAAACGAUGUCUACUAGCCGUUGGGGCCUUUGAGGCUUUAGUGGCGCAGCUAACGCGAUAAGUAGACCGCCUGGGGAGUACGGUCGCAAGACUAAAACUCAAAUGAAUUGACGGGGGCCCGCACAAGCGGUGGAGCAUGUGGUUUAAUUCGAUGCAACGCGAAGAACCUUACCUGGUCUUGA
rnacentral:rRNA from 1 species